UACCCAGGUGAACACCUCAAGGCCAGUC
rnacentral:piRNA from 1 species